rnacentral:lncRNA from 1 species
UGCUGAAGUGAAUGUCUUCAUCAGUGGGGCUGUCCCUGGCCAUCCUGUCAGUACCUUCAGAGUAGCUGAAUGACAAUUGCACGCACUUCUGGAUUUUGGACUAUUCAGUGGAUGCCACUGAAGCCUUGAAGUCAUGAACCUCAGCUGGGCUGUGUACAAAGAGCAGUUGGGCCUUGAGCUGUGAAACUGUGCAUAUACACAUGUGAAGAAUGGAUAUCUGAUACCACCCAUAGAUUAGUCUUUCGUGAGAUGAUAUGAGAGGAAUCUUGGAAUCCAGAGCAAUAGACAGCUAAGGCUCCUGCUCCCUGUGGACAAGAGUGAGGAAGACUCCCUC